AAGGAGAGUUUGAUCCUGGCUCAGAAGGAACGCUGGCAGCGUGCAUAACACAUGCAAGUCGAACGAUGAAGGAGUCUUCGGACUGCGGAAGAGUGGCGAACGGGUGAGGAACACGUAAGAAUCUGCCCCUCGGUCGGGGACAACUCUUGGAAACGAGAGCUAAUACCCGAUACGCUGUGGAGUGAAAGAAUUUCGCCGAGGGAUGAUCUUGCGUCUGAUUAGCUAGUUGGUGUGGUAACUGCACACCAAGGCGACGAUCAGUAGCUGGUCUGAGAGGAUGGACAGCCACAUUGGAACUGAGACACGGUCCAAACUCCUACGGGAGGCAGCAGUGG
rnacentral:rRNA from 13 species